CAGUCGCCGCGGGAAUACGUAGGUGGCAAGCGUUGUCCGGAAUUAUUGGGCGUAAGGGCUCGCAGGCGGUUUCUUAAGUCUGAUGUGAAAGCCCCCGGCUCAACCGGGGAGGGUCAUUGGAAACUGGGAAACUUGAGUGCAGAAGAGGAGAGUGGAAUUCCACGUGUAGCGGUGAAAUGCGUAGAUAUAUGGAGGAACACCAGUGGCGAAGGCGACUCUCUGGUCUGUAGCUGACGCUGAGGCUCGAAAGCGUGGGUAGCAAACAGGAUUAGAUACCCCCGUAGUCCCUGUCUCUUAUACA
rnacentral:rRNA from 1 species